rnacentral:misc_RNA from 1 species
AAAAGUCGUAACAAGGUUUCCGUAGGUGAACCUGCGGAAGGAUCAUUCACAAUAAGUGUUUAUGGCACUUUCAAAUCCAUACCCACCUUGUGUGCAAUGUAUAAGAGUCCCCUUUCUAAUUCGGAAAUUGGACUUGAUUUUUCUCUUACACGUUUUCAAUUGCAAGUCUAAGCUUUCAGAGUAAUAAAAAAAACUCGAAUACAACUUUCAACAACGGAUCUCUUGGCUCUC